UCAACAAGUUGCUCCUCUAGCAUUUUUCUUUUUAUCGAACUAGUGAAUGAUACGAAGGUAGACUGGUGUAAUUUUCAUAUCACUCUAAUUAGGCUACUUUUAAUUGCAUGUAUAAAUAAAAAUCUCUCAAUUCUCCCUCAUUCAAAAAAUCUCAAUUUUCUCUAUCUCUAAAGUAUAAAAUAAAGCAUAAUAAUAAUGAAUGAAGGGAGGAUGAAGUAGCUAACUUUACAAUAUUUU
rnacentral:lncRNA from 1 species